AGCGAACGCUGGCGGCAGGCCUAACACAUGCAAGUCCAACGAACCUUUCGGGGUUAGUGGCGGACGGGUGAGUAACACGUGGGAACGUGCCUUUAGGUUCGGAAUAACUCAGGGAAACUUGUGCUAAUACCGAAUGUGCCCUUCGGGGGAAAGAUUUAUCGCCUUUAGAGCGGCCCGCGUCUGAUUAGCUAGUUGGUUGAGGUAAUGGCUCACCAAGGCGACGAUCAGUAGCUGGUCUGAGAGGAUGAUCAGCCACAUUGGGACUGAGACACGGCCCAAACUCCUACGGGAGGCAGCAGUGGGGAAUCUUGCGCAAUGGGCGAAAGCCUGACGCAGCCAUGCCGCGUGAAUGAUGAAGGUCUUAGGAUUGUAAAAUUCUUUCACCGGGGACGAUAAUGACGGUACCCGGAGAAGAAGCCCCGGCUAACUUCGUG
rnacentral:rRNA from 1 species